CCUUUUCUGGUCAAUCGAAUAAAAACGCUGCGGUGUCUUUCUGCACAGCAUACUUCUACCAAAACGUUCCGUGAUCAACACUUUGACGUUUCACGCGGAGAAAGUCCAUUUCUGCGGGGAAACUUUCUUCGUUUUGAGUUUUUAGUACGGUACUUCUGAAAUCGGGAAUAGUUGGAGAAUUUACCAAGAGGUAGGCCUACUCUGGUUUCGAUAGCAUCAUCCUCUCACCCAGACACUACACGAUGAACACGAGGACUGUGCUGCUCCUGGCGCUUGUCGUCACCAUGGCUUGCUCCUUCUCAGAGGCCGGCAAUUACUGGCAGAUGAGGGGGCGCACGGGCCGGGCCAGCCUCCGGACGAACUUCAGGAAACGCAUCUACCCGUUCGUCCCGAUCCGACCUGAGAUGCUGGAGCGAGUGGUGGAAGACUGGGAUAAUGGUGACGCCGAAUUUGACAACUACUAGAAUUUGCCUUCUACGAUUCGUGAUCAUUCAAAACAAAGUUCUUUCGUUUCUUCAUUGGACUUUUCAACCUUACCACGAGAGGGCGAUAAAAUGAUCUUACGGGCUCAAAGGGAAUGUCUGCUCAAUGUCUUUAUGCGGGUCUAGUUCUUAGUUAUUCUCCAAAGCUGUGAGCCAACCUGAUGAGAAUGGGCAUCUCGAGGGCGGUGCGAGAGCGGGAAGAAGUUUAAAAGGGGCGGGGAAGAGGAAGACAGAAGAAUGUGAAACCAACAAUGUGUGUUUAAAAAAAUGGCCUGUUUCUAUGAAAAUGCCUAGUGUUAUGGCUGAACUGUCGAGUGCCCCCACUUGGCAAAAGUACAAGUUUCCCCUUCCUAGUGAUGCCUGUGCUGAAGAGAGUCUACACUGUCGAUAUUAUUCUGAGUUGCUCUUUUGGGCGGUUGGUCUCGGUUGCUUUUGUCCCAUGGUCAUAUUUUCGAAAAAACAAAGUGAUGCAUUCUUUUCACUUCAUCACAUCUGGACAUUUCAAGAAAACACAGUUAUCAGCUCUUUGAUGUAAGGUGUAAGCUCUGCACAUGCCUUUCGUUAUUAAUGGUAGACAGUUGUGUACAGUUAUUUGAAUUGUUCCAUAAUAGAAGGUUUGGAUGAUAAGCCUACAUAAUAUAUUUUAUUGGCUCUAUUGCAUUGUAAAAAGAUCAAGUGUUACAGUAGAUGUAAUUCUUAAACAUUUAUUUCAAAAAGAUGCCGUCUAUUAUGUUGUGCGGCAAACUCACCACAGAGACGUUUGGUCAGUGGUAAAUUCACUUCUUUGUUCACAGCCUUAUCUUAAUAUUCGGCUCUUUAUUCAGUCCAGAGUUCCUUCCGACAGAAAACAACUGGACAAGGUUUUACACAAGUUUGUUUCUCAUUACAUGUUUCAAUUUAAUUGUUUCACUGGAACCCCAUCACAACAACAACCUGUUUGGUCGUUUUUACAACUCUUGGCUUUAUCUGUAGACCAUAAUGAGUUUAGUCCUCCCUUUUGUGCCGAGGGGCUUCAUAGCAUCCUUCUGUUCUACGACAGAAAUUCAGAUUUGAAAUAUUGAAUGUUUAUAAUUAAGUUACAGCAUGCAAUAAAUUUUUCAAGAAACAUCAUGAAUCCGGAGAGGAACUUGGCGUAUGAUACAAGACACUGGGAUCCGCAUUAAGUGAUGACUCUUCCCGAAGGAGUAUUUCAUUAAAGAAAAUGGCGUACUGUGCUGACAUUCUGUCAAAUUGUUUUGAAAUUUACCGAAUUUCUUUCAUAAGAGCCAAUUUGUGAUCACAAAGUGUCUCUGAACAGGCUGUGCCAUCAGUAACUUUUUUCCACAAAGUCGAUUAACUGAAAUACUCAAUUGUGGAACGUUGACAGAAGGAAAUACCUACAACCCUGUCGUUCCUUAGCAACCCCUUUCUGUUUCAAAGCUCUUUAAAUUUUCAGCACGAAGGCUGCUUUUUAUCACCAUUUGCGUCCGCGGUAUCUCUCAAAAAAAAGAUAAAUAGGCUGGUCUCAUUUCUGAAUAUGUUAUUUCAAUAAAUGUUCUAUCUGAA